rnacentral:rRNA from 1 species
UACGGAGGGGGGCGAGCGUUGUCCGAAGUUACUGGGCGUAAAGCGCGCGUAGGCGGGUUGGUAAGUCCGCUGUGAAAGCCCGGAGCUUAACUCCGGAGGGUCGGUGGAUACUGCCAGUCUUGAAGGUGCUAGGGGAGAUGGAAUUACCGGUGUAGCGGUGAAAUGCGUAGAGAUCGGUAGGAACACCAGUGGCGAAGGCGGUCUCCUGGGGCAUUCUUUUGACGCUGAGGUGCGAAAGCGUGGGGAGCAAACAGGAUGAGAGACCCC